rnacentral:sRNA from 1 species
GUUUCCCGAGGCCGCCCGCGCGUGGACGGUUGGGGUUAGCGGCCGCGGGGGCCGGUGGGGGUCGUGGGGCCUCCCCCACCCGAGUACAGGCGAGCGAGCGGCAUCCGGGCGGACCCCCGCCUCGGGGACCGGGAAACUGAGGCUCGGGCGGCCCCGAGACGCCGUCAAGGUCAUGUAGGUGGUGGGGGCUUGCACCUUCGCCUCCCGACUCCAUCCAGUUCGUGUUUGCUGUGAGGACGGUGUCCCUGGCCAGUGUCCUUCCACCUGUCCACAAGCAUGGGGAACAUCUUCGCCAACCUCUUCAAGGGCCUUUUUGGCAAAAAAGAAAUGCGCAUCCUCAUGGUGGGCCUGGAUGCUGCAGGGAAGACCACGAUCCUCUACAAGCUUAAGCUGGGUGAGAUCGUGACCACCAUUCCCACCAUAGGUGAGGUGGGGGCCAGCAGGGAGUGGGCUGGGCUGGCCUGGGCCAAGGUACAAGGCCUCACCCUGCAUCCCGCACCCAGGCUUCAACGUGGAAACCGUGGAGUACAAGAACAUCAGCUUCACUGUGUGGGACGUGGGUGGCCAGGACAAGAUCCGGCCCCUGUGGCGCCACUACUUCCAGAACACACAAGGCCUGAUCUUCGUGGUGGACAGCAAUGACAGAGAGCGUGUGAACGAGGCCCGUGAGGAGCUCAUGAGGAUGCUGGCCGAGGACGAGCUCCGGGAUGCUGUCCUCCUGGUGUUCGCCAACAAGCAGGACCUCCCCAACGCCAUGAAUGCGGCUGAGAUCACAGACAAGCUGGGGCUGCACUCCCUACGCCACAGAAACUGGUACAUUCAGGCCACCUGCGCCACCAGCGGUGACGGGCUCUAUGAAGGACUGGACUGGCUGUCCAAUCAGCUCCGGAACCAGAAGUGAACGUGACCCCCCUCCCUCUCACUCCUCUUGCCCUCUGCUUUACUCUCAUGUGGCAAACGUGCGGCUCGUGGUGUGAGUGCCAGAAGCUGCCUCCGUGGUUUGGUCACCG